rnacentral:rRNA from 1 species
UACGUAGGGGGCUAGCGUUGUCCGGAUUUAUUGGGCGUAAAGAGCGUGUAGGCGGCCAGGUAGGUCUGCUGUGAAAAACUCGAGGCUCAACCUCGAGACGUCGGCGGAAACCAUCUGGCUAGAGUCCGGAAGAGGAGAGUGGAAUUCCUGGUGUAGCGGUGAAAUGCGCAGAUAUCAGGAAGAACACCCGUGGCGAAGGCGGCUCUCUGGGACGGUACUGACGCUAAGGCGCGAAAAGCGUGGGGAGCAAACAGG